GGCGACGAUGGGUAGCCGACCUGAGAGGGUGAUCGGCCACAUUGGGACUGAGAUACGGCCCAGACUCCUACGGGAGGCAGCAGUAGGGAAUUUUGCGCAAUGGACGAAAGUCUGACGCAGCAACUCCGCGUGAGGGAUGAAGGUCUUCGGAUUGUAAACCUCUGUUGAGUGGGAAGAAAAUUCUUAGUGAUAACAGCACUAAGAUCUGACGGUACCAUUCGAGGAAGCUCCGGCUAACUACGUGCCAGCAGCCGCGGUAAUACGUAGGGAGCUAGCGUUGUUCGGAAUUACUGGGCGUAAAGAGAACGUAGGCGGGGAAGUAAGUUAGAAGUGAAAUGUAUCGGCUCAACCGGUAACGUGCUUUUAAUACUGCUUUUCUUGAGUAUGGGAGAGGAAGAUGGAAUUCCAGGUGUAGCGGUGGAAUGCGUAGAUAUCUGGAAGAACACCAGUUGCGAAGGCGGUCUUCUGGCCCAAUACUGACGCUGAGGUUCGAAAGCUAGGGGAGCAAACAGGAUUAGAUACCCUGGUAGUCCUAGCCGUAAACGAUGGACACUAGAUGUCGGGGGUGUUGUGCCUUCGGCGUCGCAGCUAACGCAUUAAGUGUCCCGCCUGGGGAGUACGCUCGCAAGUGUGAAACUCAAAGGAAUUGACGGGGCCCGCACAAGCGGUGGAGCAGUGCUUCAAUUCGAUGCAACGCGAAGAACCUUACCUGGCCUUGACAUGGGAGUGGAAGCCACCAGAGAUGGAGGCCUUUCCUUCGGGAACAUUCCACACAGGUGCUGCAUGGUUGUCGUCAGCUCGUGUCGUGAGAUGUUGGGUUAAGUCCCGCAACGAGCGCAACCCCUGUCCUUAGUUGCCAUCAGGUCACGCUGGGAACUCUAAGGAGACUGCCUGGAUUAACCAGGAGGAAGGUGGGGAUGACGUCAAAUCCUCAUGGCCCUUACGGCCAGGGCUAGACACGUGCUACAAUGGGUGCUACAACGGGAUGCGAGAUCGUGAGGUUAAGCUAAUCCCUGAAAAGCACUCUCAGUUCGGAUUGGAGUCUGCAAUUCGACUCCAUGAAGUUGGAAUCGCUAGUAAUCGCGGAUCAGCAUGCCGCGGUGAAUACGUUCCCGGGCCUUGUACACACCGCCCGUCAAGCCAUGAAAGAUGGUAGUACCCGAAGUCGUUUACCUAACCGCAAGGAGGGAAACGCCUAAGGUAAGACC
rnacentral:rRNA from 1 species